AUGGUUGGUCACAAUUGUGACAAGUCUAAGCCAAAAGGAAUGCAAUGGAAGCCAAAACCUAAGCCUAUAGAGGAGAAUAAAGAACCAGCAGUAGUUCACACCACUCUCAAUGUUACUAAGGAGCCUGAUAGUGCUACAAACAAAGAUAAGAGCACUGAUGGAGAAGAAAAAUGGUCAAAAGUUCAGAAAAGUGGAAAAGGAUAG